GGAAUCAUUCAGAGCGCGAGUGGAACUACAGCGAUUCAGCAGUGACCGGCGCAGAUCCAACCAGCUGGAGGAUCCGAAGAGAUUUCUGAAGCGAUACAAAUGCUCCUACCGUGGAAUGUCUUCCUUCACGUCUUCUUAAGAUUUUAAAGAAGAGGCUGUGCUGGACAGUAGGAGAUGUUGAAGUUUUGACUGUGGGUUUGCGCUCCCUCUCACCCACGCUCUGUCUCCAGAAGCUGCAGGGGUUUCGCUGAGUUGGCAAAAAUGCGUCGCGACGCAGGAACAGAAAUAAACUGUCGGCCUUCAAGAACUCCAACACACACGAACAUCUUGUCCUCAUCGGACCUCCAACAGGUGCUCGGCUCAGCGCGGAUGAAGCUCUUCUUGAAGCUUCUGGAGGGCACAGAAGUCCACGUGACAAGGUUUGAGUGAAAUAUUUUGUUUUUUUCUCCCCCCUCUUGCUGGCCUUGUUGAACAUUCAACGCUGUCGGUGAGUUUUUGACACUGAAAAACCAUCGACCGUUGAUUGUGCCCUGAGGCCACGCCCUCUUCAGCCCAACAGAUCUCACUGGGACACGCCCACCUCUAUACAUUUCUUCAAAGGUCAUAAUCAACAUUCAUUGCUGUCGGUGGGUUUAGUUUUGUUACAGCUCUCUGAACAAUGAAUGUAACUAUGGCCCAGAUUCCUGCCUGUCAUGCCAGCGUACAUCACACUCGAUGCCAGUACAGCGGAGAUCAGCUUUUCUGCUCCUUUCUUCUCCCACUCUCAUCAUCACGGAUCUGGAGUUCUUCAAGGAAGACGCAAAUAGAAGCAGCCUCGCUGACUGCUUCCUCCUGCAUCUAAUUGGUGGUUGUGUAAAUGUGUGUGUGUGGAGCGGAUAGAAGGAAAUGGAGGAUGAAUGUGUAAUCAUUUAGAUGUUCUUCUCAUUUGGCUGUUUUGUCUCUCAAAUUAUAUACUGUGUUCACUGCAGCCUGAAAUGAGCCUAAAAUGGCACUUGCUGUUGAAUACUGUGUCCUCCCUGUCAGCUGUGUGUCUGUUUGGUGUUUUGUGUGCACUUGGAAGUGUACGAGGUGAGAGUUUGUGUUUGUGCAACUUUUUAGUCUAUGUACAUAUGUAGCGUGAGACAAUGCAUGCUUCUCUGUUACAGACAUCAAAGGGAAAAAGCUUCAGUCUUAAAAUCUCCAGAUACUGAAACACAACAACACAGCCAUUGUCUAAUCCCGUCUAUUUUCCAUCUCUUUCUUUGACUACCUUUCAUUCCUCCAUGUUCUCCGCGGAACAUUCUCUGAAUAAAAUCAUAGAAUCUCAAAUAAAA